CUUGACUGGCGGUACCCUGGAGGAGCUGGAAGCCGACCACAGGACAAGCAUAGAUUCACACUGCUGUGCAAGGAGCUCAAAGAGGCCUUUACGGCUGAGGGAACAGCAGAUAACCGAUUACUGAUCACUGCCAGUGUCUCUGCUGAGAAAGCAAUCAUUGAUGCCAGUUAUGAAGUCGCACAGAUUGCCAAGUACCUGGAUUUCAUUAAUGUGCUGACAUUUGACUUUCACGGACCCGGGAAAAGUGUCACAGGACAUCACAGCCC